AUUGAACGCUGGCGGCAGGCCUAACACAUGCAAGUCGAGCGGAUGAAGGGAGCUUGCUCCUGGAUUCAGCGGCGGACGGGUGAGUAAUGCCUAGGAAUCUGCCUGGUAGUGGGUGAUAACGUCCGGAAACGGGCGCUAAUACCGCAUACGUCCUGAGGGAGAAAGUGGGGGAUCUUCGGACCUCACGCUAUCAGAUGAGCCUAGGUCGGAUUAGCUAGUUGGUGGGGUAAAGGCCUACCAAGGCGACGAUCCGUAACUGGUCUGAGAGGAUGAUCAGUCACACUGGAACUGAGACUCGGUCCAGACUCCUACGGGAGGCCGCAGUCGGCAAUAUUGGACAAUGGGCGAAAGCAUGAUCCAACCAUGCCACGUGUGUGAAGAAGGUCUUCGGAUUGUAAAGCACUUUAAGUUGGGGUGAAGGGCAGUAAGUUAAUACCUUGCUGUUUUGACGUUACCAACAGAAUAAGCACCGGCUAACUUCGUG
rnacentral:rRNA from 1 species